GAGGGUAUAGCUCAGUGGUAGAGUGCAUGCUUAGUUAGCAUGCGCACGACCCUGGGUUCAAUCCCCAAUACAUCCA
rnacentral:tRNA from 1 species